rnacentral:rRNA from 1 species
GAUGAACGCUGGCGGCGUGCUUAACACAUGCAAGUCGAACGUGAGGGGGUAGCAAUAUCUCUGAAAGUGGCGCACGGGUGAGUAACACGUAGGUAACCUGCCCUGGAGCGGGGGAUAACAGUUGGAAACGGCUGCUAAUACCGCAUGAGACUGAUAAGCCGGGAGGCUUGUUGGUGAAAAUCUUGGUGCUUCAGGAGGGGCCCGCGGCCGAUUAGUUAGUUGGUGGGGUAAGAGCCUACCAAGGCGACGAUCGGUAGCUGGUCUGAGAGGACGAUCAGCCACACGGGAACUGAGACACGGUCCCGACUCCUACGGGGGGCAGCAGUGAGGAAUAUUGGGCAAUGGGCGAAAGCCUGACCCAGCAACGCCGCGUGGAGGAAGACGGCCUUCGGGUUGUAAACUCCUUUACGGGGAAGAGGAAGGACGGUACCCGAGAAUAAGUCACGGCUAACUACGUGCCAGCAGCCGCGGUAAU